CAACUGCAAAAGUCCCCAUUUUAUAAGCAUUGUUAUAACUACAAUUAUUUAUUACCAAAUGACUAUCUAGGUGCAAAACCGAACCGUGCUUGAAUACAUUAACUGAGUAUAAUAAAAGUCUCCUUGAUGAAAAUUACCAAAAUUACAUAAAUCUCGACUACGUAGAAAACAACGUGCAAACUUUAUAUUCAGUAAAAAUCAGCCACCAGGGACGAAGUACUUCUUGUCACAUGCAUCAUAAUCAGCUUCGUUGUAAUACGUCACCGCGCAGUACAAUUUGAAUCUUGAAAAAGGAUCAGGCUGAUAACGAACUUGGCGUGAACUAAUAUAGCCAGUAAAAAAACUGUCAUCUGAUUGCUUGAUAAGAUUAUCACUGAGAUUCUUUAUUCUCUUGCCAUUUAUAACUUGGUCAUCACUUCCACUGGGUGGGUAUCGUGAAGAAAAUUUGUAGUCUAACUGCCAUACCGGAUUGUUGAAUUCU